rnacentral:piRNA from 1 species
UACUCCACCAGAACAUGAACUCGCC